rnacentral:rRNA from 1 species
AUUGAACGCUGGCGGCAUGCCUUACACAUGCAAGUCGAACGGCAGCACGGGAGCAAUCCUGGUGGCGAGUGGCGAACGGGUGAGUAAUGUAUCGGAACGUGCCCAGUCGUGGGGGAUAACGUAGCGAAAGCUACGCUAAUACCGCAUACGAUCUAUGGAUGAAAGCGGGGGAUCGCAAGACCUCGCGCGAUUGGAGCGGCCGAUAUCAGAUUAGGUAGUUGGUGGGGUAAAGGCUCACCAAGCCAACGAUCUGUAGCUGGUCUGAGAGGACGACCAGCCACAGUGGGACUGAGACACGGCCCAGACUCCUACGGGAGGCAGCAGUGGGGAAUUUUGGACAAUGGACGCAAGUCUGAUCCAGCCAUGCCGCGUGCGGGAAGAAGGCCUUCGGGUUGUAAACCGCUUUUGUCAGGGAAGAAACGCUCUGGGUUAAUACCUCGGGGUAAUGACGGUACCUGAAGAAUAAGCACCGGCUAACUACGUGCCAGCCGCCGCGGUAACAC